rnacentral:rRNA from 1 species
UACGGGGGGGGCAAGCGUUGUUCGGAAUUACUGGGCGUAAAGGGCUCGUAGGUGGCCAACUAAGUCAGACGUGAAAUCCCUCGGCUUAACCGGGGAACUGCGUCUGAUACUGGAUGGCUUGAAUCCGGGAGAGGGAUGCGGAAUUCCAGGUGUAGCGGCGAAAUGCGUAGAUAUCUGGAGGAACACCGGUGGCGAAGGCGGCAUCCUGGACCGGCAUUGACGCUGAGGAGCGAAAGCCAGGGGAGCAAACGGG